rnacentral:rRNA from 1 species
AGAGUUUGAUCCUGGCUCAGGAUGAACGCUGGCGGCGUGCCUAACACAUGCAAGUCGAGCGAUUCUCUUCGGAGAAGAGCGGCGGACGGGUGAGUAACGCGUGGGUAACCUGCCCUGUACACACGGAUAACAUACCGAAAGGUAUGCUAAUACGGGAUAAUGUACUUUUGUCGCAUGGCAGAAGUAUCAAAGCUCCGGCGGUACAGGAUGGACCCGCGUCUGAUUAGCUAGUUGGAGAGGUAAUGGCUCACCAAGGCAACGAUCAGUAGCCGACCUGAGAGGGUGAUCGGCCACAUUGGAACUGAGACACGGUCCAAACUCCUACGGGAGGCAGCAGUGGGGAAUAUUGCACAAUGGGCGAAAGCCUGAUGCAGCAACGCCGCGUGAGCGAUGAAGGCCUUCGGGUCGUAAAGCUCUGUCCUCAAGGAAGAUAAUGACGGUACUUGAGGAGGAAGCCCCGGCUAACUACGUGCCAGCAGCCGCGGUAAUACGUAGGGGGCUAGCGUUAUCCGGAAUUACUGGGCGUAAAGGGUGCGUAGGUGGUUUCUUAAGUCAGGGGUGAAAGGCUACGGCUCAACCGUAGUAAGCCUUUGAAACUGAGAAACUUGAGUGCAGGAGAGGAGAGUAGAAUUCCUAGUGUAGCGGUGAAAUGCGUAGAUAUUAGGAGGAAUACCAGUUGCGAAGGCGGCUCUCUGGACUGUAACUGACACUGAGGCACGAAAGCGUGGGGAGCAAACAGGAUUAGAUACCCUGGUAGUCCACGCCGUAAACGAUGAGUACUAGGUGUCGGGGGUUACCCCCCUCGGUGCCGCAGCUAACGCAUUAAGUACUCCGCCUGGGAAGUACGCUCGCAAGAGUGAAACUCAAAGGAAUUGGCGGGGGCCCGCACAAGCGGUGGAGCAUGUGGUUUAAUUCGACGCAACGCGCAGAACCUUACCAGCCCCUGACAUCCCGGUCGCGGACUCCAGAGAUGGAGUUCUUCAGUUCGGCUGGACCGGAGACAGGUGCUGCAUGGCUGUCGUCAGCUCGUGUCGUGAGAUGUUGGGUUAAGUCCCGCAACGAGCGCAACCCCCGUCCUUAGUUGCUACCAUUUAGUUGAGCACUCUAAGGAGACUGCCGGUGAUAAGCCGCGAGGAAGGUGGGGAUGACGUCAAGUCCUCAUGGCCCUUACGGGCUGGGCUACACACGUGCUACAAUGGCGGUGACAAUGGGAUGCUAAGGGGCGACCCUUCGCAAAUCUCAAAAAGCCGUCUCAGUUCGGAUUGGGCUCUGCAACUCGAGCCCAUGAAGUUGGAAUCGCUAGUAAUCGUGGAUCAGCACGCCACGGUGAAUACGUUUCCCGGACAUAGUACACACCGCCCGUCACACCAUGGGAGUUGGUUUUACCUGAAGACGGUGCGCUAACCGAAAGGGGGCAGCCGGCCACGGUAGGGUCAGCGACUGGGGUGAAGUCGUAACAAGGUACAUCCGCGCCAU